rnacentral:misc_RNA from 1 species
GUGAGUCAUCGAAUCUUUGAACGCACAUUGCGCCCCCUGGCAUUCCGGGGGGCAUGCCUGUCCGAGCGUCAUUUCUGCCCUCAAGCACGGCUUGUGUGUUGGGUGUGGUCCCCCCGGGGACCUGCCCGAAAGGCAGCGGCGACGUCCGUCUGGUCCUCGAGCGUAUGGGGCUCUGUCACUCGCUCGGGAAGGACCUGCGGGAGUUGGUCACCACCACAUUUUACCACGGUUGACCUCGGAUCAGGUAGGAGUUACCCGCUGAACUUAAGCAUAUCAAUAAGCGGAGGA